rnacentral:misc_RNA from 1 species
AAAAAAAAAGAAAUAUAUGGCUUAAAUCGGGAUAUUGAAUUGAGAAAUGAUAUUAUAAAUGAAAUUUUACAAAUAAUUAACUUUUUAAAGCAAUAAUUUAUAAGAAAAUAAAAUAUGAUUUAUCGUGAUAUCAAAAUCAAAAGUUAGCUAGGGAGUAAAGAAACAAGAAGGCAGGCUGCGACCUGUGAGUAUGGGAAAAUAAGGGCGGUAACUAUAUGAAACAAAGGCUCUGGGUUUACACACCUCGUGCAGGGCCAACAUAAGCCCAACGCCUUUUGUGUCAGCUCUUUGUUACACUCUUUUGCCCAAGUACUCUUCUCACUUUCUAUUUCAUUUCCUCCUUUUCUUUCUGAAUUCCAAUGAAAAAUAUCAGACAGCUCUGAGAGGGACAGAGAGACUAAUUUUGUGAAAUUGGUCGAGUAAUCUUUUCCUGCUCGGUAGGUGUUCGACGAAAUGACUAGUUAUCAUUUAUUUAUUUACUCAAUUUGUUUAUAAUUAUUGAGCAAUGGACGUUGAGUAGGAGAGUUACAGGCCUGAAGCGGGAUUUGA